CGCGUAGGCGGCGCGGUAAGUAGGGGGUGAAAUCCUGCGGCUCAACCGCAGAAUGGCCUUCUAGACUGCCGGGCUCGAGCACAGUAGAGGCAGACGGAAUUCCCGGUGUAGCGGUGGAAUGCGUAGAGAUCGGGAAGAACACCGGUGGCGAAGGCGGUCUGCUGGGCUGUUGCUGACGCUGAGGCGCGACAGCGUGGGGAGCAAACAGGAUUAGAUACCCUGGUAGUCCACGCCGUAAACGAUGGGUACUAGGCGUCGGGGGGAGCGACCCUCCCGGUGCCGUCGCUAACGCACUAAGUACCCCGCCUGGGGAGUACGGCCGCAAGGCUGAA
rnacentral:rRNA from 1 species